rnacentral:rRNA from 1 species
AGUGAACGCUGGCGGCGUGCCUAAUACAUGCAAGUCGAACGGAGUGGCGCACGGGUGAGUAAUAUAUAGCUAAUCUGCCCCUUGCUGGAGGACAACAGUUAGAAAUGACUGCUAAUACUCCAUAGCAAGGGAUGAGCCUAUAUCGUAUCAGCUAGUCGGUGGGGUAACGGCCUACCGAGGCUAUGACGCGUAACUGGUCUGAGAGGAUGAUCAGUAACAUUGGAACUGAGGCACCGUUCAGACUCCUUCGGCAGGCGGCAGUAGGGAAAAGUACGCAAGGGGCGAGUCCCUAACGCAGCAUCGCCGCGUGGAGGAUGACACUUUGCGGAGCGUAAACUCCUUUUGUUAGGGAAGCGGUACCUGACGAAUAAGCACCGGCUAACUCCGUGCCAGCAGCCGCGGUAAUUC